GAUGAACGCUGGCGGCGUGCCUAACACAUGCAAGUCGAGCGAAGCGCUUAAAUUAGAUUUCUUCGGAAUGACGAUGUUUGUGACUGAGCGGCGGACGGGUGAGUAACGCGUGGGUAACCUGCCUCAUACAGGGGGAUAACAGUUAGAAAUGACUGCUAAUACCGCAUAAGACCCCAGCUUCGCAUAAAGCGGUGGUAAAAACUCCGGUGGUAUGAGAUGGACCCGCGUCUGAUUAGCAAGUUGGUAAGGUAACCGCUUACCAAGGCGACGAUCGCUAGCCGACCAGAGAGGGUGGGCCGCCACAUCGGGGCUGGGCCACGGCCCGGACUCCUACGGGAAGCAGCAGUGGGGAAUAUUGCACAAUGGCGGAAAUCAUGAUGGAGCGACGCCGCGAGAAGGAUGAAGUAUGUCAGUAUGUAAACUUCUAUCAGCAGGGAAGAAAGUGACGGUACCUGACUAGAAAGCCCCGGCUAACUACGUG
rnacentral:rRNA from 1 species